AGAGCCAUGUGCCGACUUCAGGCGCUAGCGGCGGGUGACACAGGUCUGGCCAAGUGUUAGAGCAAGAUCAUACGUCCGGGCCCCAUUUUAAUUUCUAAUACAUUAAUCUUUUCCUCACAGAUCCUCCAUGAAUAUUCCAAGGCUCCUUGUUUGUCAGGAAGGCUGUCUCGCUUUCAUCUAUUCAGGUGGUUUCAUUCACUAUGAAAGCCAGCUAAAUGGACCCGAUCAGUCAAUGACAACCGGGAUACAAUAGAGCCCGGUUACACGUCCCUUUUCUCCUUUCAGCCUUCUGAUAGACAACCCUGACACCUGCUCCCUGGGGACACCCUUCGCCAAGUCAGUGCACUGUUCCUUGAGAGACCUCCCUUACUUUAUCAGCCCAAAAAGGAUUGUCACAGGAGUGAAGACGCAGAAUAGGGUUCAAAUCCCAUUUUCUUCAACCUGCCUUGGGGAUUUUGGGGAGGGCGAUGUUGAGCUGAGGACACCAGUGAAUUUACCAGGAAGAGGAGGUUGGGGCUGCCCCAUCCCAUCAAAUCCAAACAGAUUAUAGAUGGUGCACACAGUUUUUCAGGAAAACUUAUAUUUUGAUCUACUUCAAUAAGUUGUUAUUAAAUAUUGAUUAAUUAUUAACCAAAGAUAUAUAGUCAAAUUUUUACAACUCAUAACAAAUCAAACAAAUCUAUUUUCCAAAGGUGUGACGAUUCAGUUUUACAAUUCUUU
rnacentral:lncRNA from 1 species